AACAAGGUUUGUUUCGAUAGAUAUGUAUAUACAGAGUAAUGAACAAUAAUAUUUAUCGUCUAACAAUGAGAGGGAGGAAGGGAUGGACUCUCGAUAUUUGGGCCAGUAGGUAGUCAAGCCCAACAAAAUUCUCACAAGUAGCAGACUCCAAAGAGCAGGAAAAGAAAUGACCCAGGUCUGGAAGUUGGGCUUGAUCUUCAAAUGGUCUCAGCAGGCCCAAUUCAAAUAUGCAUGGUAAAAAGAAAGAGGGAACAAUUAGUAUACAUCAACAUAAGAAGCAAAAUAAAUUAUGGAAGGUAAGUAAAGAUCUGAAAAGACAUAGUAUGAUUCUAGUUUUCAUUUUUCUGCCAACCCUAUGAAGAUUAGUUAAGGUUAAUGAUCAAACGCUUAGGGUGAACCAUAUUUUAUUUAUGAAAUCUCCUAUGGACACCUUACACUUCAGAGUUCACAAGGGUCUCAAGGACCCCGAGCAGUGCUUGUUCCAGGGAGGAGUACCUCGAUAACAAAACAAGUUCACACCCAAAUACCCUUAGUCAUCCACUCUUACUAUUCCUCAAAGGCUUAGACAUAAAUGAAACUGUCAACUACUUGAAAUAAAUAGCUAUAGAGGACAUUACAUUAUCAUUAGAGUACCAAGAUAUGAACGGCUCAGAACCAUUCACAAUAUUAACCUUGGGGCAUGUUGGCAGAACACUAAUACAAAGAUAGAUCACUACAACUAAACUUCUAGUAUUCCAAUAAUAUCAGGGGCCUUAAGGCUGAUCCUAGCAUGCAUAAGAGAACUUAAGUGGAUCAUAACUAAGAUGCAGUCAUAGAACAAAGAGAACUAGUUGCAUAUUAUCAGUAGGUAGGUGCUAGAUUUAAUCACCUCAAAUUCAAAAAUGCCCUAACUUUGUUCAUUCUAUUAAAGGUUUAGUACUUUAGGAUCUUUAAAUAGAUUCAGAUUACUUAGAGCAAGUCAAUAGGUAUUUUAAUAGAUUUUCAGAACAGUUUAGAGCAAAUAUAUAUAUAUAUAACUGAGAUUCCACAUCACUAAGCACUUAUACUUGCAGCCUUGUUCAGACUUUCUAAGGAUGAGAGCAACCAACAGGGACACCAACAUGAAUAUAAAGAUUAGUUUAGUCUUUUUAGACCUAAUGACAUGAUGUCUUGUUGUAACAACACAUAGUCUAUCAGAUUUUCAAACUACCAGAUCCAAACUAUUUUAGAUUCUCAAUUAAGUUCUUCUAUAAACAGUGAUGUCAACAAACAUGAGAUGGCAAACAAUGACAGUCAUUUCAAUUUGCAAGGGGUAAGGCAAACAUAUCACAAUGAGUUUACUUGAACAUAUGAGUAGUUCUACUAGCAAGUUACACCAACAAACUUUCAUUUUAGAUCCUACAUGCAUAAUACAUGUUCAUCAAUAUUCAGUCAAGUUAUUGAGUUAUUGAGGCAGGCAGUACUCAAGUUGACAAGAGGAGUCUUCCUAAACAGUGUCUUGAGCAUUACAUGAUCUUGAGAGAACUAGAAAACAUAAAUGGCCAAAACAACAAGUAGAUAAUUAAUAUCAUUUUAGAUGAACAAAUAAGAUUAUAGUGAUACCUUAGGUCAACAUUUGUCAAGUAUUCACAAUUUAUGAGGCUAUCAUGAUAGACUACUUUCUUUUAGCUGAACAAAACCAACAUGAGGCCAAAUAUGGCUGUUAUAUAAAGUUUCCAACUUAGGCAGAUAGAUUAGCAUAAUAGGGUAGGCAUGCUGUUGGGAAGACCUUUUGAAUUACCAAGGAAUCACAUGCAAGUUGACGUAGUAGUUUGAACAUGGAACUUUCUCAACUAAAGGGAAUAUGGAGGUCCAUGAACAUCACUGGAUCAACAAAAAUCAAGCAAGUGAGUGUAGAUUCAAGCAUAGAGGUCAAACAUGAGUCAUUUAAUAAAUUUAGAAAUAUAAGUGAUAUACAGCUACAUCACAAAGCUCAGACAGGCUAUGGGAGUAUCAGAAGGUAAAAGUAUACAUUUCAGCAGGUAAAAGAAACAAGGUGAAGAAGGGUACGAGGUACCCAGUUAGUGAAGAUUAUCAAUGGGUAGUGGGCAGGCCAUGUGAUAGCUAUGCUAACAGGUUCACCACAUUAUUCCAUACUAGAAUGAUAUACUUUCAUGAAUUACUAAAUAUGCAGAACAAACAUGGUUUCAACUACAGGACUGUCAACCAAGGUCAUCAAGCAGACAAAUCAAAUGUAAGACAUAAACUAUAAUUAGAAUCACUUUUUAUUGAACCAAAACAAUAUGAAAUAGCAUCACAAACAUAAGGAUCAAUAUAGCAUAGUGCAAAAUAUGUAAAGUUUUAACAGAACAUCAAGAGGAGCUUAAAAACACAACUCAAUCGAUUUAGCUAACAUGUUAGUAUAGCUAUUAUUUAACUGACAUGGAUGGAACACACAUAGUAUAAACAUAAGGUUUAGCCCAACUAAUCAUAAGGUUCAACAGGAUUUGUUCAUAAGAGUAUCAACUACACAGAAAUAUUUUAUCUAGCCAAGUUAUGAGGGAUGAAAUUCAUUAGCAACAUAGAUUGGAUAGCAGUAUCAGAACAACCUAACUUAUCAGGAACUUAUCAUCUCAACAAUGAAAAUGGCAUGAAAAAAUAGAACAUAAUAAGUAUAGUCAUAUACCACUAAUGUAUAUCAUAAACGAAAGGUGAUUAACAGAAAAAAUAUCACAAAAUUUCACAAUUAAGAUAUAGAGACAGGGUCAACAUACACUGACCUUCUUUAGAGCAGCAAACCAAGUAGGAGUCGAUUAUUAACUAUUUUGGGAUCCAAAC
rnacentral:lncRNA from 1 species